rnacentral:tRNA from 1 species
GCGCCGGUGUAGGUCGCACGCCAGUAACCCGCCCCUGCCUGCGGGGCGGUGGUGGAGAAGGCGAAGCCCUCACCGUUCCACCUGGCGUCCGGCACG